rnacentral:rRNA from 1 species
CAGUAGCCGCGGGAAUACGUAGGGUGCAAGCGUUAAUCGGAAUUACUGGGUGUAAAGCGUGCGCAGGCGGUUGUGUAAGUCUGAUGUGAAAGCCCCGGGCUCAACCUGGGAACUGCAUUGGAGACUGCACGGCUAGAGUGCGUCAGAGGGGGGUAGAAUUCCGCGUGUAGCAGUGAAAUGCGUAGAGAUGCGGAGGAAUACCGAUGGCGAAGGCAGCCCCCUGGGAUGACACUGACGCUCAUGCACGAAAGCGUGGGGAGCAAACAGGAUUAGAUACCCCUGUAGUCCCUGUCUCUUAUAC